UACGUAGGGCGCAAGCGUUGUCCGGAAUUAUUGGGCGUAAAGAGCUCGUAGGCGGUUUGUCGCGUCUGCUGUGAAAACUCGAGGCUCAACCUCGGGCUUGCAGUGGGUACGGGCAGACUAGAGUGCGGUAGGGGUGACUGGAAUUCCUGGUGUAGCGGUGGAAGUGCGCAGAUAUCAGGAGGAACACCGAUGGCGAAGGCAGGUCACUGGGCCGCAACUGACGCUGAGGAGCGAAAGCGUGGGGAGCGAACAGG
rnacentral:rRNA from 1 species